rnacentral:rRNA from 1 species
CCUACGGGAGGCAGCAGUGAGGAAUCUUGGUCAAUGGGCGCGAGCCUGAACCAGCCAAGUCGCGUGAGGGAAUACGGUCCUAUGGAUUGUAAACCUCUUUUGUCGGGGAGCAAAAGACGCCACGCGUGGCGUUCCGAGAGUACCCGAAGAAAACGCAUCGGCAAGCUCCGGGCCAGCAGCCGCGUGAAUACGGAGGAUGAGUGCGUUAUCCGGAUUUGUGGGGUUGAAAGGGUGCGCAGGCGGAAGAUCAAGUCAGCGGUAAAAUUGAGGGGCUCAACCUCUUCGAGCCGUUGAAAGUGGUUUUCUUGAGUGAGCGAGGAGUAUGCGGAAUGCGUGGUGUAGCAGUGAAAUGCAUAGAUAUCACGCAGAACACCGAUUGCGAAGGCAGCAUACCGGCGCUCAACUGACGCUCAUGCACGAAAGUGUGGGUAUCGAACAGGAUUAGAUACCCUUGUAGUC